rnacentral:rRNA from 1 species
UACAGAGGUCUCGAGCGUUGUUCGGAUUCAUUGGGCGUAAAGGGCGCGUAGGCGGCGGGGUAAGUCUGGUGUGAAAUCUAGGAGCUCAACUCCUAAACUGCACUGGAUACUGCUCUGCUGGAGGACUGGAGAGGAGACUGGAAUUCACGGUGUAGCAGUGAAAUGCGUAGAUAUCGUGAGGAAGACCAGUGGCGAAGGCGGGUCUCUGGACAGUUCCUGA